CCUACGGGGUGCAGCAGUGGGGAAUAUUGGACAAUGGGCGAAAGCCUGAUCCAGCCAUGCCGCGUGUGUGAAGAAGGCCUUCGGGUUGUAAAGCACUUUCAGUGGGGAAGAAAGCCUUGGGGCUAAUACCCUCGAGGAAGGACAUCACCCACAGAAGAAGCACCGGCUAACUCCGUGCCAGCAGCCGCGGUAAUACGGAGGGUGCGAGCGUUAACCGGAAUUACUGGGCGUAAAGCGCGCGUAGGCGGUCUGAUAAGCCGGUUGUGAAAGCCCCGGGCUCAACCUGGGAACGGCAUCCGGAACUGUCAGGCUAGAGUGCAGGAGAGGAAGGUAGAAUUCCCGGUGUAGCGGUGAAAUGCGUAGAGAUCGGGAGGAAUACCAGUGGCGAAGGCGGCCUUCUGGACUGACACUGACGCUGAGGUGCGAAAGCGUGGGUAGCAAACAGGAUUAGAUACCCUAGUAGUC
rnacentral:rRNA from 1 species